rnacentral:rRNA from 1 species
UACGGAGGAUCCAAGCGUUGUCCGGAUUUAUUGGGUUUAAAGGGUGCGUAGGCGGUCUAAUAAGUCAGUGGUGAAAGUUUGCGGCUUAACCGUAAAAUUGCCAUUGAAACUGUUGGACUUGAGUAUGGUUGAGGUAGCUGGAAUGUGUCAUGUAGCGGUGAAAUGCUUAGAUAUGAUACAGAACACCAAUUGCGAAGGCAGGUUACUAAACCAUAACUGACGCUGAGGCACGAAAGCAUGGGGAUCAAACAGG